rnacentral:rRNA from 1 species
AGUGAACGCUGGCGGUAGGCCUAACACAUGCAAGUCGAACGGCAGCACAGUAAGAGCUUGCUCUUACGGGUGGCGAGUGGCGGACGGGUGAGGAAUACAUCGGAAUCUACUUUUUCGUGGGGGAUAACGUAGGGAAACUUACGCUAAUACCGCAUACGACCUACGGGUGAAAGCAGGGGAUCUUCGGACCUUGCGCGAUUGAAUGAGCCGAUGUCGGAUUAGCUAGUUGGCGGGGUAAAGGCCCACCAAGGCGACGAUCCGUAGCUGGUCUGAGAGGAUGGUCAGCCACACUGGAACUGAGACACGGUACAGACUCCUACGGGAGGCAGCAGUGGGGAAUAUUGGGCAAUGGGGGCGAGCCUGAUCCAGCCAUACCGCGUGGGUGAAGAAGGCCUUCGGGUUGUAAAGCCCUUUUGUUGGGAAAGAAAAGCAGCAGGUUAAUACCCCGCUGUUCUGACGGUACCCAAAGAAUAAGCACCGGCUAACUUCGUG